rnacentral:rRNA from 1 species
AUAAUACUCCAUAGAUUAGAGACACUGGAAUGUUCUGUAGUCGAAAGUUCUGGCGCCUUAGGAUGGAUCUGCGGUCGAUUAGGUUGUUGUUGGGGUAACGGCCCAACAAGCCUGUAAUCGAUACGGGUUGUGGGAGCAAGAGCCCGGAGAUGGAAUCUGAGACACGAUUCCAGGCCCUACGGGGCGCAGCAGGCGCGAAAACUUUACAAUGCAGGAAACUGUGAUAAGGGAACUCCGAGUGCCCGUAUACGCGGGCUGUCCAGGUGUUUAAAAAUCAUCUGAAGAAAGGGCCGGGCAAGACCGGUGCCAGCCGCCGCGGUAAUACCGGCGGCUCGAGUGGUGGCCACUAUUAUUGGGCUUAAAGCGUCCGUAGCUGGACCGAUAAGUCUCUUGGGAAAUCCGCCGGCUCAACCGGCGGGCGUCUAAGGGAUACUGUUAGUCUAGGGACCGGGAGAGGUGAGAGGUACUCCGGGGGUAGGAGUGAAAUCCUGUAAUCCCCGGGGGACCACCGAUGGCGAAGGCAUCUCACCAGAACGGCUCCGACAGUGAGGGACGAAAGCUGGGGGAGCGAACCGGAUUAGAUACCCGGGUAGUCCCAGCCGUAAACUGUGCGCGUUAGGUGU